AGAGUUUGAUCCUGGCUCAGAACGAACGCUGGCGGCGCGUUUUAAGCAUGCAAGUCGAACGGUAAUAGAGUGCUUGCACUCUAUGAGAGUGGCGAACGGGUGAGUAACACGUAGGUGAUCUAUCUCGAGGUCUGGGAUAGUCCGUGGAAACACGGGGUAAUACCGGAUGAGACCAAUAGAUUGAGGUUUAUUGGGGAAAGGCGCUUAGGCGGUGCCUUGAGCUGAGCCUGCGGCUCAUUAGUUAGUUGGUGGGGUAAUGGCCUACCAAGGCGACGAUGAGUAGCCGGCCUGAGAGGGUGAUCGGCCACACUGGGACUGAGACACGGCCCAGACUCCUACGGGAGGCAGCAGCUAAGAAUCUUCCGCAAUGGGGGAAACCCUGACGGAGCGACGCCGCGUGGACGAAGAAGGCCGGAAGGUUGUAAAGUCCUUUUCCUGGGGGAGAAUAAGGUAUGGAGGGAAUGCCAUACAGAUGACGUGAACCAGGGAAUAAGCCCCGGCUAAUUACGUGCCAGCAGCCGCGGUAACACGUAAGGGGCGAGCGUUGUUCGGAUUUAUUGGGCGUAAAGGGCGUGUAGGCGGUGAGGUAAGUCUGGUGUGGAAUUUCCCGGCUCAACCGGGAGCGCGCGCUGGAAACUGUCUUACUUGAGUGAUGGAGGGGGAGCUGGAAUUCCUGGUGUAGGGGUGAAAUCUGUAGAUAUCAGGAAGAACACCGGAGGCGAAGGCGAGCUCCUGGCCAUUUACUGACGCUGAGGCGCGAAAGCGUGGGAGCGAACAGGAUUAGAUACCCUGGUAGUCCACGCUGUAAACGAUGUGCACUGGGUGUUGGUCCUGAGAGGAUCAGUGCCGUAGCAAACGCGUUAAGUGCACCGCCUGGGGAGUAUGCUCGCAAGGGUGAAACUCAAAGGAAUUGACGGGGGCCCGCACAAGCGGUGGAGCAUGUGGUUUAAUUCGACGAUACGCGAGGAACCUUACCAGGGCUUGACAUAAACACGACGGUUGUAGAGAUACAGCUUCUCUUCGGAGCGUGUUUACAGGUGCUGCAUGGCUGUCGUCAGCUCGUGCUGUGAAGUGUUGGGUUAAGUCCCGCAACGAGCGCAACCCUUGCUGUCUGUUGCCACCAGGUAAUGCUGGGGACUCGGACGGUACUGCCGGUGACAAACCGGAGGAAGGUGGGGACGACGUCAAGUCAUCAUGGCCCUUAUGUCCUGGGCUACACACGUGCUACAAUGGCCGGUACAGAGCGAAGCAAAACCGCGAGGUUGAGCAAAUCGCAGAAAGCCGGUCCCAGUUCGGAUUGAAGUCUGAAACCCGACUUCAUGAAGUUGGAAUCGCUAGUAAUCGCGCAUCAGCAUGGCGCGGUGAAUAUGUUCCCGGGCCUUGUACACACCGCCCGUCACACCACCCGAGUUGGGGGUACCCGAAGUCGCUCGUCUAACCGGUAACGGAGGACGGUGCCGAAGGUAUGUCCGGUAAGGGGGGUGAAGUCGUAACAAGGUA
rnacentral:rRNA from 1 species